rnacentral:tRNA from 1 species
GCGGGAGUAGCUCAGUGGUAGAGCACCACCUUGCCAAGGUGGGGGUCGCGGGUUCAAAUCCCGUCUCCCGCUCCA